rnacentral:lncRNA from 1 species
GGUCUGUGCAUGACUCAAAGGUAAAACAGAAGAAUGUAAACUGACUGCCAGGGUCCAUUCCUUCCCAGCAUUCCUCUCUUCCCAGAAUUCCUCUCUUCCCAGAAUUCCUCCCUUCCCAGCAUCCUGACUGCAGAUGCAAUAUGAUAACUGGCUACUUCACAACCUUGCCUCCACACCUUCCCUGACAGUGUGGCCUGUACCCUUUAACCUUGAGUCAAAAUCUCUGAAUUCUUAGGGUGCCUUAGUUAGAUAUUUUGGCCUGGCACUGAGAAAAGCAACUUAUAUGGCUUGGCGAUAAUGGAAGUGGAGGUCCCAAAGACUGUUUCUCUAGUUAGGUGGACCUAACAGUUCCUGUCUGUUGCCUCUGCUAGCUUCCUCCUCACAACUUGUGUUUUCGUGCCAUAUUGUGAUGUGUGUCUGUGAGAACGAGAUCAAAUACAAGGGGCCCUUCUGUGCGACUUUUGUAAGUUUCAGGGAAGAGGAGUCACCUUGCUGCUUUUUCCAGAGGAUGCCCUGCCCAUGGUGACAAGUGAUCAAUGCUGUUGUUAUUUCUAGCCCUUCUGAAGACCCCAGGAAGAAAGACUGGCCAAUCCUAUUUUCUAAUGACUGACAAGGAGGAUCUGGGAGCUGGGAGGUUAAUGUGGACGGAUGCUCCCAUUUUCCUUUUGUUAAGCUUUGAUUCACCACCUGCUUCCUGUAGUGUGCAUGUGCUGGGGGAGGGCCAAGAGCUCCUAAAAGUGGCAGGCAAGUUUAACCUUGAAACUACCUCCAGGUUGUUUCCAGCAGAGAAGUUGCUGUAACUGUGGGCACCUGCUGUUCUGAAGGUCAUGCUUGCAGAUAGAAAUCUUCAGAGGCUCUUGCAAGUAUUGUUGGGAGAAGUCAAGAAAAUAUAUUCUGCUCAAGGCAUGCCCCAUUUCUAUGAAAAGCGAGAGCCUCGUGGGAAUCUGAAAACAAUGGAGUUAAAGAAUAGUUGACUUAUUUCUAUGUGCUUUUUCUGGCUUUACAAACAGCAAUAGCUGUAUUUAUUUAUGUUACGUAACUAAGGGUUAAAAGAAAUGGUGUCUUGGUGCAAAAAUAGGUAGAUAAUUCUUCCUAUUAUCUGAUUUUUUAUCCAGAUAAAGUUUGUUGGAGUGAGACCUUACUGGCAAUUAACCAAUUACCUCUCCUCUGCAAAUAUAACUGAGAAAACAGGCAGUAUAGGCUAGGUAUCCAGCCAUCAACUAAGCAUGUGACUCAGAACACAGACUUUACAAAUAUUUAAUGUGGCAAAAUAAAAUGGAAUGGACUAUUUUCUCAGGAUUGUCAUAGCUCAGAAAUGCUUCAAAAUAUCCAGUAUUGUUUAUUCUUUAAUCUCACAGAAGACAUUUUCUCUUUUUAAAAAAAUGAGUGAUUUUGUGUAUAUUUGUUUAUUUAUUUAUUCUCUUUGAAAUAAGACACCUAUUUUCUGGAAUAUAAAACCUUAAUUCAUCGUUUCCCUUGAAAGACUAAUCUGCAUUUUCCAUGAAUGGAUCUUUUCAACAAACACUGCUGAGACUUGACUAUGUACAAUUAAUUUGGAAGAGGUGGGAAUCAAAUAAUGAAUAAUUGAGUAUUAUCCUUCCCCAUGGAUUCUUUAUCUAGGAAGAACAUCAUUACACAAACAGUCUCAUGGAGAAUACAUGUCAGGGUAUAAGUGUUACAUACUUGAACAUCCUCAUCUGUCCCACACUGAAGGAGCACAGCUAAGUGCUCUGACCUAUCUACACCUUGUUGCCAUGGGCAUUCAUCCCUGUCCUCAGUUGAAUAGCAAGAAUAAACGUUAAAAUCACUUUUUCUUACUGAAAGAAACAGAAAUCCC